CAUAAAAAAACGAAAUGACUAUUUGCUACCGAGUGCAAAUAAUCAACAUGAACACUAUCUGUACCCGAGUGCAAAUAGUGAAUUCAUCUUUCUACAAACUGUGUAAGGAAGGAGUUUGGUUUGUUCCAACUGAAUUCAUCCUUCUACAAACUGUGUAAGGAAGGAGUUUGGUGUGUUCCAACUGAAUUCAUCCUUCUACAAACUGUCUAAGGAAGGAGUUUGGUUUGUUCCAACUGAAUUCAUUGUUCUACAAACUGUGUAACGAAGGAGUUUGGUUUGUUCCAACUGAAUUCAUCCAUCUACAAACUGUGUAGGGAAGGAGGUUGGUCUGUUCCUACUGAAUUCAUCUCAAAAAUCUCAAAGCGUCAGAAGUAGAAAAUAUUGAUUAUUUUUGUUCAGAUUCUUGUUACGACUCAAAGCAAUUCCCUGAAAUUAUUUUCUUGAUAAAUCUAACGAA